rnacentral:rRNA from 1 species
AACGAACGCUGGCGGCAGGCUUAACACAUGCAAGUCGAGCGCACCUUCGGGUGAGCGGCGGACGGGUGAGUAACGUGUGGGAACGUGCCCUUUAGUAAGGAAUAGCCACUGGAAACGGUGAGUAAUACCUUAUACGCCCUUCGGGGGAAAGAUUUAUCGCUAAAGGAUCGGCCCGCAUUAGAUUAGAUAGUUGGUGGGGUAAUGGCCUACCAAGUCUACGAUCUAUAGCUGGUUUUAGAGGAUGAUCAGCCACACUGGGACUGAGACACGGCCCAGACUCCUACGGGAGGCAGCAGUGGGGAAUCUUAGACAAUGGGCGAAAGCCUGAUCUAGCCAUGCCGCGUGUGUGAUGAAGGUCUUAGGAUCGUAAAGCACUUUCGCCAGGGAUGAUAAUGACAGUACCUGGUAAAGAAACCCCGGCUAACUCCGUGCCAGCCGCCGCCGUAACAC